UAAUGAUGAGACCUUAACUGAAAGCUGGAAUUACCGUCAGAUUUUCAGUGGUGAUAUUUCAAGUUUCUGAAA